CUGCUCAUUAUCAUGUUGUUCCUCUUCACAUAGUAUCGGGUGAUCCUCAACCCGACUUGAUGAUUCUAGUGCUGUACGAUCCCACAUGAACCUAAAUAUGCCACUCGUUAUCCUCUCCAUAACCCAACUUCUUUAUACAGAUAUAAAGAUACCACAAUGUAACAGAAGUUGACCCUGUAAUGAGCAAAGAUGAAUGAAUCUAAACAGAAAAUCAGGAGACAUGCACACACUCCACCUCAGCCACUUACAAUCAUCCCACUUCAUUUAAAACCAAUGAAUAAGUCAACUUAAUUUGCAUAUGAAAUUCAAUGCAAAUACCACGGAAUAUAGAACAAAUAAUGGCCAUUUAUGAUGCAUGUAACAAGGAAAAUAAGAAAUUACCAACAGAACAUCACUUCUUAGCAAGCAAAGCUCCANN
rnacentral:lncRNA from 1 species